GAUGAACGCGGCGGCGUGCCUAAUACAUGCAAGUCGAACGCUGGAGAUCUAGCUUGCUAGAUCGAAGGAGUGGCGAACGGGUGAGUAAUACAUAAGCAACCUACCCACGAAGACUGGGAUAAUCUCUGGAAACGGGGACUAAUACCGGAUAGGUAAUCGGAAGGCAUCUUCUGGUUAUUAAAGGUUAAAAACACUGGUGGAUGGGCUUAUGGCGCAUUAGUUAGUUGGUGAGGUAACGGCCCACCAAGACGAUGAUGCGUAGCCGGCCUGAGAGGGUGAACGGCCACAUUGGGACUGAGACACGGCCCAGACUCCUACGGGAGGCAGCAGUAGGGAAUUUUCGGCAAUGGGGGCAACCCUGACCGAGCAACGCCGCGUGAGUGAAGACGGCCUUCGGGUUGUAAAGCU
rnacentral:rRNA from 1 species